UACGGAGGGAGCAAGCGUUACUCGGAAUUAUUGGGCGUAAAGGGCGCGUAGGCGAUUCGAUAAGUCUCAUGUGAAAUCCCAGGGCCUAACCCUGGAAUGGCAUGGGAUACUGUUGGAUUUGAGUUCCGGAGAGGAAGGCAGAAUUCCCGGUGUAGCGGUGAAAUGCGUAGAUAUCGGGAGGAAUACCAGUGGCGAAGGCGGCCUCUGGACGGAUACUGACGCUGAGGCGCGAAAGCGUGGGGAGCAAACAGGGAUUAAGAA
rnacentral:rRNA from 1 species